rnacentral:rRNA from 1 species
UGAACGCUGGCGGCAGGCCUAACACAUGCAGUCGAACGGUAACAGGAGCAGCUUGCUGCUUGCUGACGAGUGGCGGACGGGUGAGUAAUGUCUGGGAAACUGCCUGAUGGAGGGGGAUAACUACUGGAAACGGUAGCUAAUACCGCAUAACGUCGCAAGACCAAAGAGGGGGACCUUCGGGCCUCUUGCCAUCGAUGUGCCCAGAUGGGAUUAGCUAGUGGUGGGGUAACGGCUCACCUAGGCGACGAUCCCUAGCUGGUCUGAGAGGAUGACCAGCCACACUGGAACUGAGACACGGUCCAGACUCCUACGGGAGGCACAGUGGGGAAUAUUGCACAAUGGGCGCAAGCCUGAUGCACCAUGCCGCGUGUAUGAGAAGGCCUCGGGUUGUAAAGUACUUUCAGCGGGGAGGAAGGCGAUAAGGUAAUAACCUUGUCGAUUGACGUUACCCGCAGAAGAAGCACCG